CUGCUAAGCUACCUUACUUUAUAUAAAUGGAAUCUGUACAUGCGAUAGCUCCGUAUGACGUCGGACACGGGGCUAUGCGUUACGGAUAUCACCGCAAACGCAGCUAACCAGCGAAGCUGCCUUCCUGUGUAGAAACGGACUCUCCAUACCUGCUUUACGAUCGACUCUAUUUAAGCGAGGUGAGCUUGAAAACUUUGAUAGCGUGAUUG
rnacentral:misc_RNA from 1 species